rnacentral:rRNA from 1 species
UUGGAGGGCAAGUCUGGUGCCAGCAGCCGCGGUAAUUCCAGCUCCAAUAGCGUAUAUUAAAGUUGUUGCAGUUAAAAAGCUCGUAGUUGAAUUUCGGGGUCAGUAGAUUGGUCAUGCCACUGGUAUGUACUGGUCUCACUGAUUCCUCCUUCCUGAUGAGCCGUAAUGCCAUUAAUUUGGUGUUGCGAGGAAUCUGGACUGUUACUUUGAAAAAAUUAGAGUGUUUAAAGCAGGCUAACGCUUGAAUACAUUAGCAUGGAAUAAUGAAAUAGGACGUUCGAUCUUAUUUCGUUGGUUUCUAAGAUUGACGUAAUGAUUAAUAGGGAUAGUUGGGGGCAUUAGUAUUCAAUUGUCAGAGGUGAAAUUCUUGGAUUUAUUGAAGACUAACUACUGCGAAAGCAUUUGCCAAGGAUGUUCUCAUUAAUCAAGAACGAAAGUUAGGGGAUCGAAGACGAUCAGAUACCGUCGUAGUCUUAACCAUAAACUAUGCCGACUAGGGAUCGGAUGAUGUUAAUUUUUUAAUGACUCAUUCGGCACCUUACGGGAAAC